CGAGGUUAAAGGUACCCGUACCGCAAACCGACACAGGUGGGUGAGGAGAGUAUCCUAAGGCCAGCGAGAGAACUGUUGUUAAGGAACUCGGCAAAAUGACCCCGUAACUUAGGGAUAAGGGGUGCCACCAUCAGGUGGCCGCAGAGAAUAGGCCCAAGCGACUGUUUACCAAAAACAUAGGUUUCUGCUAAGUCGCAAGACGAUGUAUAGGAGCUGACGCCUGCCCGGUGCUGGAAGGUUAAGGGGAUCUGUUAGAGCAAUCGAAGCAGUGAACUUAAGCCCCAGUAAACGGCGGCCGUAACUAUA
rnacentral:rRNA from 1 species